rnacentral:rRNA from 1 species
CCUACGGGAGGCAGCAGUGGGAGAUAUUGCACAAUGGGGGAAACCCUGAUGCAGCGACGCCGCGUGGGUGAAGAAGCGCCUCGGCGCGUAAAGCCCUGUCAGCAGGGAAGAAAAGGACGGUACCUGAAGAAGAAGCCCCGGCUAACUACGUGCCAGCAGCCGCGGUAAUACGUAGGGGGCAAGCGUUAUCCGGAUUUACUGGGUGUAAAGGGGGCGCAGACGGCGAUGCAAGCCAGGAGUGAGAGCCCGGGGCCCAACCCCGGGACUGCUCUUGGAACUGCGUGGCUAGAGUGCAGGAGGGGCAG